rnacentral:rRNA from 1 species
UAGGGAAUCUUCGGCAAUGGACGGAAGUCUGAUCGAGCAACGCCGCGUGAGUGAAGAAGGUUUUCGGAUCGUAAAGCUCUGUUGUUAGAGAAGAACGUUGGUAGGAGUGGAAAAUCUACCAAGUGACGGUAACUAACCAGAAAGGGACGGCUAACUACGUGCCAGCAUCCGCGGUAAUACGUAGGUCCCGAGCGUUGUCCGGAUUUAUUGGGCGUAAAGCGAGCGCAGGCGGUUCUUUAAGUCUGAAGUUAAAGGCAGUGGCUUAACCAUUGUACGCUGUGGAAGCAGGAUUACUUUAGUGCAGAAGGGGAGAGUGGAAUUCCAUGUGUAGCGGUGAAAUGCGUAGAUAUAUGGAGGAACUCCGGUGGCGAAAGCUGAUCUCUGGUCUGUAACUGACGCUGAGGCUCGACAGCGUGGGGAGCAAACAGG